AUGUUCGGGAAACCAGACAAAAUGGACGUUCGGUGCCACUCGGACGCGGAGGCGGCGCGGAUGUCGAAGAGCGCGCACAAGGAGAGCCGCGAGGGCAAGGGCGCCGAGGGCAGCCUGCCCGCCGCCUUCCUCAAGGAGCCGCAGGGCGCCGCCGACGACUGCAACAAAAGUAAAGCCGGCGCGGCCGCCGACCCGGAUUACUGCCGCCGGAUCCUGGUCCGAGAUGCCAAGGGGUCCAUCCGGGAGAUCAUCCUGCCCAAGGGCCUGGAUCUGGACCGGCCCAAGAGGACGCGCACGUCCUUCACGGCGGAGCAGCUCUACCGGCUCGAGAUGGAGUUCCAGCGCUGCCAGUACGUGGUGGGCCGCGAGAGGACCGAGCUCGCCCGGCAGCUCAACCUCUCCGAGACCCAGGUGAAGGUCUGGUUCCAGAACCGGCGCACGAAGCAGAAGAAGGACCAGGGCAAGGACUCGGAGCUGCGCUCGGUGGUGUCGGAGACGGCCGCCACGUGCAGCGUGCUGCGGCUGCUGGAGCAGGGUCGCCUGCUGUCGCCGCCCGGCCUGCCCGCGCUGCUGCCGCCCUGCGCCACGGGCGCGCUCGGUUCGGCGCUGCGCGGGCCCAGCCUGCCGGCCCUGGGCGCGGGCGCCGCCGCGGGCUCGGCCGCCGCCGCCGCUGCCGCCGCCGCCGCCGCCGCCACCGCCCCGGGCCCGGCCAGCGCUGCCUCCCCGCACCCGCCGGCCGUGGGCGGCGCUCCCGGCGCGGGGCCCGCGGGCCCCGGGGGACUGCACGCGGGCGCGCCCGCCGCCGGCCACGGCCUCUUCAGCCUGCCCGUGCCCUCGCUGCUCGGCUCGGUGGCCAGCCGCCUCUCCUCCGCCCCGCUGACCAUGGCCGGUUCGCUGGCCGGGAAUUUACAAGAACUGUCCGCCCGGUACCUGAGCUCCUCGGCCUUCGAGCCUUACUCCCGGACCAACAAUAAAGAAGGGGCCGAGAAAAAAGCGCUGGACUGAGGAUCGGAAGUGUCUCCCUGUAUUUAUAUUUAUAGUUAUCUAUUGUGGUGAUAUUUAUGGACUCUUGCGCCCGAUCAGCCGCCGCUGCCACCGAAGAGUUUUUGAAUAUGCGAAAGAGGAACGCUGCACGCGGAUCCCGGGGGCUGAACAAACUUGUAGGUUUCGUUAGACCAAAAAGGAGGACGUUCCUUCCUCUUGCCAGAACAACCAGGGUUUUGGGGGUGCCCCUAGACCUCACUUUGCGGACCUCUCCG